AUGCAUCCUAUUGCUUUGCAUUGCACCACAUUGCACCCAGGUUGCAUUGCAUUGCAUUGCAUUGCAUGGGGUUGCAUUGCAUUGCAUUGCUUUGCAUUGCAACCCAUUGCAUUGCAGAGGUUUGCAUUGCAACCCGUUGCAUUGCAUCGCAUUGCACCCAGCUUGCAUUGCAUUGCUUUGCUUUGCUUUGCUUUGCAUUGCUUUGUAUUGCAUUGUAUUGUAUUGUAUUGCAUUGCAACCCAUUGCAUUGUAUUGCUUUGCUUUGCAUUGCUUUGCUUUGCUUUGCAACCCAUUGCAUUGCAUUGCACGUGGUUUGCUUUGCUUUGCUUUGCUUUGCAACCUAUUGCAUUGCAUUGCAUUGCAUUGCAUUGCUUUGCUUUGCAACCUAUUCCAUUGCAUUGCAUUGCGUUGCGUCCCAUUGCAUUGCACUGCUUUGCUUUGAAACCCAUUGCUUGCAUCCCAUCCCAUCCCAUUGCAUUGCUUUGCAUUGCUUUGCAUUGCAUUGUGUCGUGUCAUAUUGCAUUGCAUUGCAUUGCUUUGCUUUGCUUUGCAUUGGGUUGCAUUGCUUUGCAACCUAUUGCAUUGCAUUACAUUGCAUCCCACCCCAUUGCAUUGCAUUGCACGUGGUUUGCUUUGCAUUGCAUUGGGUUGCAUUGCUUUGCAACCUAUUGCAUUGCAUUGCAUCCUAUUGCAUUGCAUUGUUUUGCUUUGCUUUGCAACCUAUUGCAUUGCAUUGCUUUGCAUUGUGUCAUUGGGUUGUAUUGGGUUGCAUUGCAUUGCUUUGCUUUGCAACCUGUUGUAUUGCAUUGCUUUGCUUUGCUUUGCAUUGCUUUGCUUUGCAUUGCUUUGCAUUGCUUUGCUUUGCAUUGCUUUGCAACCUAUUGCAUUGCAUCCUAUUGCAUUGCAUUGCUUUGCAUUGGGUUGCAUUGCUAUGUAUUGCAUUGCAUUGCAUUGCUUUGCUUUGCAUUGCUUUGCUUUGCUUGUGUUGUAUUGCAUUGCAUUGCUUUGCUUUGCUUUGCUUUGCUUUGCAUUGCUUUGCAACCUGUUGUAUUGCAUUGCAUUGCAUUGAAUCCCAUUGCACCCUAUUGCAUUGCAUUGCAUUGCAUCCUAUUGCUUUGCUUUGCAACCUAUUGCAUUGCAUUGCAUUGCAUCCUAUUGCAACCCAUUGUAUUGCAUUGUAUUGUAUUGUAUUGCUUUGCAAGCUAUUGCAUUGCAUUGCAUUGCUUUGCUUUGCUUUGCUUUGCUUUGCAUUGCAACCUGUUGUAUUGCAUUGCAUUGCAUUGCUUUGCAAGCUAUUGUAUUGCAUUGCAUUGGGUUGCAUUGCUUUGCUUUGCUUUGCAUUGCAACCUAUUGCAUUGCACAGCUUUGCAAGCGAUUGCAUUGCAUUGCUUUGCAAGCUAUUGUAUUGCAUUGCAUCCUAUUGCAUUGCAUUGCAUUGGGUUGUAUUGCAUUGCACCCAGUUUGCAUUGCAUCCCAUUGCAUUGCAUUGCAUUGUACUACAUUGCAACCCAUUGCAUUGCAACCCGUUGCAUUGCAUUGCUUUGCAACCCAUUGCAUUGCACCACAUUGCACCCAGCUUGCAUUGCAUUGCAUUGGGUUGCAUUGCAUUGCACCUGGUUUGCAUUGCAUUGCAUUGCUUUGCUUUGCUUUGCUUUGCUUUGCAUUGAAUCCCAUUGCACCCUAUUGCAUUGCAUUGCAUUGCAUUGUAUUGCAUUGUAUUGCAUUGGGUUGCAUUGCUUUGCUUUGCUUUGCUUGUGUUGUAUUGCGUUGCAUUGCUUUGCUUUGCUUUGCUUUGCUUUGCUUGUGUUGCAUUGCAUUGCUUUGCUUUGCAACCUAUUGCAUUGCAUCCCACCCAUUGCAUUGCUUUGCAACCUAUUGCACUGUAUUGCAUUGCAUUGCUUUGCUUUGCUUUGCAAUGUAUUGCAUUGUAUUGCUUUGCAACCUAUUGCAUUGCUUUGCUUUGCAUUGGGUUGCAUUGCAUUGCAUUGCAUUGCUUUGCUUUGCUUUGCAUUGCUUUGCAUUGCACCCAGCUUGCAUUGCAUUGCUUUGCAUUGCAAGCUAUUGCAUUGCAUUGCUUUGCUUUGCAAGCUAUUGCAUUGCAUUGCAUUGCUUUGCUUUGCUUUGCAUUGUAUUGUAUUGCAACCAGUUUGCAUUGCAUCCCAUUGCAUUGCACACAGUUUGCAUUGCUUUGCAUUGCAUUGCUUUGCUUUGCAACCUAUUGCAUUGUAUUGCAUUGUAUUGCAUUGCAUUGCAUUGCAUUGCAUUGUAUUGCUUUGUACUGCAUUGCUUUGCAUCCCAUUGCUUUGCAUUGCACGUGGUUUGCAUUGUAUUGCAUUGCAUUGCAUUGAAUCCCAUUGCACCCUAUUGCAUUGCAUUGCUUUGCAACCUGUUGUAUUGCAUUGCAUUGCAUUGCACCUGGUUUGCUUUGCAUUGCAACCUAUUGCAUUGCAUUGCUUUGCAUUGCAUUGCAUUGUAUUGCAUUGUAUUGCAUUGGGUUGUAUUGGGUUGCAUUGCAUUGCAUUGCACGUGGUUUGCUUUGCUUUGCUUUGCUUCUUAUCCCAUUGCAUUGCAUUGCAUUGCUUUGCUUUGCAUUGGGUUGCAUUGCAUUGCAUCCCAUUGCAUUGCAUUGUAUUGCUUUGCAACCUAUUGCAUUGCAUUGCAUUGGGUUGCGUUGCUUUGCAUUGCAUUGCUUUGCUUUGCUUUGCUUUGCAUUGCAUUGCAUCCUAUUGCAUUGCAUUGCAUUGGUUGCGGUUGUAUUGCAUGUGCAUUCGCCUGUUGGCUUUGUCCAUGCAUGUUUCGUGUUGCAUUGGCAUUGCAUUGCAUUGCAUUGCUUUGCAAACCGAUUGCGAUUGCCACUCUUGCCUUUGCAUUGCAUUGUGUUGUGUUGCAUUGCAUUGCAUUGCAUUGCAUUGCUUUGCAACCUAUUGCAUUGCAUUGCUUUGCUUUGCUUUGCAUUGCAUUGCAUUGCAUUGCAUUGCAUUGCAUUGUGUUGCAUCCCAUUGCAGUGCACUGCACUCACUUUGCAUUGCAACUCAUUGCAUCCCAUUGCAUUGCAUUGCAUUGCAUUGCAUCACAUCACCUUGCAUCCCAUUGCAUUGCAUUGCACUCACUUUGCAUUGCAUCGCCCUGCAUCACAUUGCAUUGCAUUGCACCACACCCACUUUGCAUUGCAUUGCAUUGCACCCAUCUUGCAUUGCAUCCCAUUGCAUUGCAUCACACCCAGGUUGCAUUGCAUCUGAUUGCAUUGCUUUGCUUUGCUUUGCUUUGCUUUGCUUGUGUUGUAUUGCAUUGCAUUGCAUUGCUUUGCAUCCUCAUGCAUUGCUUUGCACCCUCAUGCAUUGCUUUGCAUUGCUUUGCAACCCAUUGCAUUGCAUUGCUUUGCAAGCUAUUGCAUUGCAUUGCACCCAUCUUGCAUUGCAUUGCAUUGCAUUGCAUUGCAUCACAUUGUAUUGCAUUGCAUUGCAUUGCAACCUGUUGUAUUGCAUUGCAUUGCAUUGGUUUGCAACCUAUUGCAUUGCAACUCAUUGCAUCCCAUUGCAUUGCAAUACAUUGCACCCAGUUUGCAUUGCAUCCCAUUGCAUUGCAUCACACCCACUUUGCAUUGCAUUGCUUUGCCUCACCUUGCAUCGCAUUGCCUGGCGUCACAUCACCUUGUGUUGCAUUGCACCCAGCUUGCAUUGCAUCUCAUUGCAUUGCAUUGCAUCCCUUUGCAUUGCAUCCCGUUGCAUUGCAUCACACCGACUUUGCAUUGCAUUGCAUUGCUUUGCAACCUAUUGCAUUGCAUUGCAUCCCAUCGCAAUGCAUUGCACCACAUUGCACCCAGGUUGCAUUGCAUUGCAUUGCAUCCCAUUGCAUCCCAUUGCAUUGCAUUGCAUUCACUUUGCAUUGCAUUGCACCUAG
rnacentral:lncRNA from 1 species